rnacentral:rRNA from 1 species
AGCAGCCGCGGUAAUUCCAGCUCCAAUAGCGUAUAUUAAAGUUGUUGCAGUUAAAAAGCUCGUAGUUGAAUUUCGGGGUUAGUAGGUUGGUCAUGCCUCUGGUAUGUACUGGUCUCACUGAUUCCUCCUUCCUGAUGAACCUUAAUGCCAUUAAUUUGGUGUUUUGGGGAAUUUGGACUGUUACUUUGAGAAAAUUAGAGUGUUUAAAGCAAGCUAACGCUUGAAUACAUUAGCAUGGAAUAAUGAAAUAGGACGUUCGAUCCUAUUUUGUUGGUUUCUAGGAUUGACGUAAUGAUUAAUAGGGAUAGUUGGGGGCAUUAGUAUUCAAUUGUCAGAGGUGAAAUUCUUGGAUUUAUUGAAGACUAACUACUGCGAAAGCAUUUGCCAAGGAUGUUUUCAUUAAUCAAGAACGAAAGUUAGGGGAUCGAAGACGAUCAGAUACCGUCGUAGUCUUAACCAUAAACUAUGCCGACUAGGGAUCGGAUGAUGUUAAUUUUUAAUGUACU